GACGAACGCUGGCGGCGUGCUUAACACAUGCAAGUCGAACGGAAAGGCCCGGCUUUUGUUGCGUGCUCGAGUGGCGAACGCGUGAGUAUCACGUGUGUAACCUGCCCUUGUCUGACGGAUAACUUCAGGAAACUCGGGCUCAUACCGGAUAUGAGCUUCUGAUGCGUGGGGUUGUUUGGUGAGAUUUGGCGGUAGUGGAUGGUCUCGCGGCUUAUCAGCUUGAUGGGGGGGUAGUGGAUGACCAAGGCUGUGAAGGGUAGGCGGCAUGAGAGGCUAGCCGGCCACAAUACGACUGAGAGACGGCCCAGACGCCUACGGGAGGCAGCAGGGGGGAAUAUGGCACAAUGGGCGGAAGCCUGAUGCAGCAACGCCGGGUGCGGGAUGACGGCCUUCGGGUUGUAAACCGCUUUCGCCGGUGACGAAGCGUGAGUGACGGUAAUGGGUAAAGAAGCAACGGCUAACUACGUG
rnacentral:rRNA from 1 species